UACGGGGGGGGCAAGCGUUGUUCGGAAUUACUGGGCGUAAAGGGCUCGUAGGCGGCCAACUAAGUCGGAUGUGAAAUCCCCAGGCUCAACCUGGGAACUGCAUCCGAUACUGGAUGGCUUGAAUCCGGGAGAGGGAUGCAGAAUUCCAGGUGUAGCGGUGAAGUGCGUAGAUAUCUGGAGGAAUACCGGUGGCGAAGGCGGCAUCCUGGACCGGCAUUGACGCUGAGGAGCGAAAGCCAGGGGAGCAAACGGG
rnacentral:rRNA from 1 species